UGUUUAGGCUUUUUGGGAAUUUAACUUCAAUUAACCUGAAAGUUUUCAUUGUAUAAACAUCUGUUGGGUUGGUAGAAUGUGGAAAGACCCUCCUCAUUGGUUAAUAUUCCCUGUAGUAGUAACAUCUGUUGGGUUGGUAGAAUGUGGAAAGACCCACCUCAUUGGUUAAUAUUCCCUGUAGUAGUAACAUCUGUUGUGUUGGUAGAAUGUGGAAGUAGGUUUUAAAUUCAUACUUAUUACAAAUCUGCAGUUUUCUGACUAUUAUAUAAUUAUUUAAUGAAAUAAAUGUAAAAAUGCACUGUUUGUCUGGAAAUAAAAAUAAACAUUUAUCUGCGUUAACCACUCCAGUCAACAGAUGGCGAUAUGCGUUUUUUAGGCGAUGCUAUCAGAGUGACGUAUAAUGUAGUGGACGGGACGCUUCUUCAACAACAUCUCGUCAGCCACCUCGGUAGCUUCCUAGUGGAAACGUUCAAGCAGUUCAGACUGCUUCGGUCUAUAUUUACUUCUGUAUUUGGAACAUAAUUCUGUCUUUUAACUAGUUUCCCCAUUUCAUGUCAUAUUUCCGUUUCGUCAGGUAACGGUAGCUGGCUUGAUAAAUGAGCCUAUCACUAGUCUAGUCGCUAACUAGCUAGGUUAGCUGGCUAACAUCCCCGACCAUGAGCUCAGCAAGCUGCUGCCCUCCUGCUAAAAAAGAGGUCUGCUGGAAGGAGAAAGAAGGUAUUUGGCUGAACGUUGUCGUGAAAGAGGAGAAUGAAGAGGAGGAUGUCACAGUAAACGAAGAAGUCGAGGGUGAGGCUGUUACACAGAAAGAAGAGGAAGAAAACGAUUAUACUUUUUUUGGAGUGAAUGAAGGAGAGAUAACUGUCAUAUUGAAGGAGGAGGAGAGGGAAGAAGAGAAGGAGACAGAAGAUCUGAGUAACACCAGAGAGAGACCAGACUCUCCUUCUGACAGCAGGAAGAGUCCUUCAGAGAAACCAGACCCCGAGACGUCCAAACCAGCAGGACGACAUCACUGCUCCCAGUGUGGGAAGAGUUUUACUCAGUCAGGGAGCCUGAGAACACACAAGAGAAUUCACACUGGAGAGAAGCCUUACCACUGUUCCCAAUGUGGAAUGACGUUUACCCAGUUAGGGAGCCUGCAAACGCAUGAGAGGGGACACACAGGGGAAAAGCUUUUCCAAUGUUCCCAUUGUGGAAAGAGUUUUGGCCAGGUAGGAAACCUGAACAAGCAUGAGAGGACACACACAGGUAAGAAGAUGUACCGCUGCUCCCAGUGUGGAGAGAGAUUUACCCGGUUAAGGUACCUGAAAGAGCAUGAAAGAAUACAUACAAAUACACAGGAGGAGAAGACAUACCACUGCUCUCAUUGUGGAAAGACAUUUUCCCAGUCAGAGAACCUGAAAACACAUGAGAGAAUCGAGAGGCUGUGUUCUGACUUGUGUUUCUGACUGAGAAUGUGUGUGUUUGUUUGGGCUGUCAGACUUGAGUUCACUUUGUAUAAUGUUAGUGCACUAUUUUUAAUUGUGAUUCAUCCAUUGUCCGAAAGGGUUUAAAACACACUGAAAACAUCCAAAAUACAUACUAUAUACAGCUAAAAUCUACAAUGCCAUGUAAACACAAGAUGACAUUGAGGUUAAAUAAAGUGUGCUUUAUCAAUGGAACAUA